rnacentral:lncRNA from 1 species
UGCAACACGCCAAUCUGAAGCAGUGUAAGGACAACUCUCGAAGAGCAUACGGAAGUUACGGGUUGCAACAAUCUUUGAUUUUUUGGAGGCAGAAUGAACAUUGUCAAUAAAGUUCUUGUGGGGCAUUGAUGCAUACAGGGCUGGGUGGUGCCUGAGGUACUAAACAUUGUUGAGGUAUUCACUACUCAAUUUGAUACAAGACUCACUCGCCCACUCUUUGUGUGGCUAUCCUACCAUGACACCACUACACUACAUGGCUACCUUACAAUCU